rnacentral:lncRNA from 1 species
CAGCAGCAAAACCUCACCCAAUUCCACUUGUUUUUUGUCUCUUUUCUUUUCCCCAAUCCUUAGCCACCUCACCCAUUGAUUUUUAUCAGGAAAGUUCCAGAAUAAAAAAGAUCCAAUGGCUCAAAAGAUUGCAGCAAUACCUGGGUUUCAUCCUCACCUUUGGGGUGAGAGUUUAGAGGCCUUGGUUUCGUAUAAAAUCCCAUCAAAACGUACCAUUAGGUAAGAAAAAAGAGAGGAGGCGGAGGAAAAAGGAAAAAGGAGAGAAAAACAGAGAAAACAGAGAGAGAAGAAGAAGAAAAAAAAGAGCAGAAAAUUUCUGGAGCCAGGGUUAAGGGUUCAGCCCUUUUUUCUGAUCGAAUUCCGAUCUCGAUUCCAGUCGUUUAGGUGUUUUGUUGAUUUUUGCACACUCUCCGAAGUCAAGAGAGCAAUUUUUUUUCAGAAACCUUGUGGAAAAAAUGACCGGAAAUCCAUCAUAUUCGGCCUCAAACUCGCUGCAGUUGGAAUUCUUGAACUUCUUCCAGCGUCUGAGUUCAUUUGCUCGUGAUUUCCCAUGUUAUUUUGGCUCCUUAAAGCACUAAAAGGUAACUUUAUUCAUCCUAUUUUUUAAAUGUGCUUAGAUCCUAGCUAGAUUCUUGAAAAUUUUGCUGCAAUGGUUCCUGUUAUCUCCCUUCUUCUGCUAUUCCUUUUGCAAGCCACAACUCAAGUUUUUUAGUAUGUAAUCUGGUGAUUUAAUGCGGUAUUUGUGAUGAUAAGAUCCGGUUGAUGUUAAGGGUGCAUGAUCUGGUUAUUUUGAGCUGAAAUUUUGAUGAUUGUUUGGGUUAUUUGGGGGUGUUUGAUGAACUGCAAGAAAGUUGCAGCAAUGCUCUUCUAACCAGAUGCAUGGAUUUUUUUAAAUUUGUAUUUUGACCCCUGACUUUUACAUAAUUCCAUUGUGGCCCAAAAUUUGGAAUGAACCAAUUUUGCCCCUUUUAAGUUUUAAUCCUCGUUUCAUAUUUUAAGUGGGUUUUGGGCAGGUUAUUUUUGGAUUUUAGGAUGAAAUUAGGGCUCAAUUAAUUUUUGGUAGAUUUAAUACCUUGUUUGGUUUGGUAAAAUAAAUCAAGGUUUGGGUUAAUAUUGUUUUGUUUGGCUAUUGGUAAAUGGCUUUUAGUUUAUUUUUCUGGGUUUUGGCAUCGGCUUGGGGUUUAAAGUCCAUGCAUUUGAUUGGGCUGAUUUGGUAAAAAAUGACAGGGUAGCCCGUUUGGCCGUCUCUUUUCCUUAGGGCUUUUCGUUGGGUCAAGAUGGCUUUUGGCCCAAGGAAAAUAAUAGAGUGGCCCGUUGGCCUUUUUUUCCAAAAUUUUAAAAUUCGGACCGUUAAUUGAAUUGGUGAGGUGUUCGGGUUAAGGUUCAAUCGGUCUGACCGGUUCAACCCUGGUUCAAUGAAUUUUUUAAAAAUUAAUUUAUAUAAAUAUAUAUGCACAAAACAAGACAUGUAUUGGACUAAUUUAAGACUUUAUACGAUGAAAAAUUUAAUAAUUCAAAGAAGUUGGUUUUUCACAAAUAAAUUAUUUAAAUUAUAAGUUGAAACAAAUAAAUUUCAUUUAAAUCUUAAUUGGAUUAAUCAAAAAAAUAAUGUUAAACCCAACUCAAAAAUACCACAAUAUUUUGAAAUUAUACAAAAUUCACGUCUAUGAGAAUUAGACAUUGUGAGUUUAAAUUUUAAAUCAAGUUUAUGAUAUUUAGAUAUUGCAACUUAAAAAAAAAAGAAGUUUUGAGUUUGGAGGAAGUCAAAAAAAUAGAAAAUAAAAAUACAAACUUGAUAAAGAGGCAAAAAAGGAGAAGAAAGUGAGUGAAUAUGGCAUUUAAUAAUUAGUUUUUAGAGUUAAGGAAAACAUAUAUAUAUAUAUAUAUAUAUUUUUUUUUCAAUUUAAUAGACAAAAACAAAAAACUGUCGGUUCAACGGUUCAAUCCAGUUCGUACGGCUCGAAUGGUUCAAUUCGAUUUUUAAGUAUAGUCAACCCAAAGCAUGAAUCGGACCGGAGCCAAGGCUGGUUCGCGGUCCGACCGAUUCGGUCCGAUUUUUAAAGCACUGCUUUUUCCUUAAGAUCUCUCAUAGGAAAAUUGCAUUUCAAUCCUUGGACUUUCGAUUAUUUUUACUGUAACCCUAAAAAUUUUGGUUUUCUUUCAAUUAGGCUCCUAAUUUAACUGUAUUUUGGUCCCUGAACUUUAUUUUUAUUUAAUUUUGACCCUUAAUUUUUAUAAUAAUUAUAAUGAAACCCCAAAAACUCUCAAUUUUUAUAAUUAGGUCCCUAAUGUUUUGAUUUCUUAAAUAUAAGUUGUUUAUCUUCUUUAACUGUUAAUUAUACUUCAUUUAAAUGCUUUAAUUGAUAAAUUUCAUGAUUAUUUUCACUUCUUUAUAAUAUAUAUUUGUUAAUUAAAUUGGUGUCUUGACCAUUUUGUUGAUUUUUGGAGUAUAAAUAGGAUAAAUCCAACCUUAUUUAACCACUACUUCAAGGGAGGUAUCUUCUUUUAUUGUUUUAAAUCCUCUUAUGUGCUUCUAUAUGCUUUUUAUCUAUAAUUGCAUGUUUGAGUGCUUUUAUUUACUCAUUUUUUAUUCAUUUAUUAUAUUUAAUUUUUUAUGAUUAUUUGGGAGACAUUUAAAUGUCAAAUUAUAAUAGAAAGAUGCUCAAGACAUGUAUUUAGCUAUGCUGUAUGAUAGAUAGGUUUUAAUUUUGCCAAAAAUGUAAUUAGUUAGAUAAAUGUAAUAGUUAUGUUAUUAUUUUUUAAAAUUCCCCUCUUAAAUUAUAGUUAGGGUCCCAAAUGUAAUAGUUAGGUAUUAUUUGCUUAUGUACUUGCAUGCUUGUGUGCUUAUGUGUUUAUUCGCUUUUUUUUUUAGGGUUUUUGCAUCUAGAUUGAUAGGCUGCGAUUUAUCGUUUAUUUUAUAAUUAAUUUCCCUUAUUACCUGACCCAAUGUGGAUUAAUUGUCAGAUUCUACUCACUUUUGAAAAUUUACACUUAUUACAGGGAGUAGAAUAAAAAUACCAUAACAAGUGCUAAUUUGGCAGUCAUCAGGAAAGAGUUCAAGUAACAGGCAUUCAGGGAUAUUUUUGGAAUAUCAAGACACGACCCUUCUUGGUAAUUUGGCCGAAGACAGCAUUAAAAAGAAAAGGCUGGAGUCUUCUUCUUCUGGGUAGCGGACGCCGCACAGGAGCAGUAGACAUUAGAUAGAAAUUAGAAAUAGCAAACAACGGGGACUACUUGGUGGCUUAGCUUUUUGACUUUUCUCUUUGGCUUUUGGGUAGCUUUACUUCUCGUAUGUCAAAGGCAAUAGGAAGACAAAAAUCAUUCCUUGUAGCUUUUCUUUUUGACUUUUGCUUUUCGUCCUUUGUGAUUCUCUUGCCUCGUACGUCUGGGACAAUUAGAAACAAUUGAAUCAAUCGCUAUGGCUUGCCUUUCCUUUGUAAUUCGAGCAAAUUGAAUUCU